AGAUUGAACGCUGGCGGCAUGCCUUACACAUGCAAGUCGAACGGCAGCACGGGAGCAAUCCUGGUGGCGAGUGGCGAACGGGUGAGUAAUAUAUCGGAACGUGCCCAGUCGUGGGGGAUAACGCAGCGAAAGCUGUGCUAAUACCGCAUACGAUCUAUGGAUGAAAGCGGGGGAUCGCAAGACCUCGCGCGAUUGGAGCGGCUGAUAUCAGAUUAGGUUGUUGGUGAGGUAAAAGCUCACCAAGCCGACGAUCUGUAGCUGGUUUGAGAGAACGACCAGCCACACUGGGACUGAGACGA
rnacentral:rRNA from 1 species